AACGAACGCUGGCGGCAGGCCUAACACAUGCAAGUCGAACGCCCCGCAGGGGGAGUGGCAGACGGGUGAGUAACACGUGGGAACAUGCCCUUUGGUUCGGAAUAACUCAGGGAAACUUGAGCUAAUACCGGAUAAGUCCGCGAGGAGAAAGAUUUAUCGCCGAAGGUUUGGCCCGCGUCUGAUUAGCUUGUUGGUGAGGUAAUGGCUCACCAAGGCGACGAUCAGUAGCUGGUCUGAGAGGAUGAUCAGCCACAUUGGGACUGGGACACGGCCCAAACUCCUACGGGAGGCAGCAGUGGGGAAUAUUGGACAAUGGGCGCAAGCCUGAUCCAGCCAUGCCGCGUGAGUGAUGACGGCCUUAGGGUUGUAAAGCUCUUUUGCCCGGGAAGAUAAUGACGGUACCGGGAGAAUAAGCCCCGGCUAACUUCGUGCCAGCCGCCGCCGUAA
rnacentral:rRNA from 1 species